UACGUAGGUGGCAAGCGUUAUCCGGAUUUAUUGGGCGUAAAGGGAACGCAGGCGGUCUUUUAGGUCUGAUGUGAAAGCCUUCGGCUUAACCGGAGUAGUGCAUUGGAAACUGGGAGACUUGAGUGCAGAAGAGGAGAGUGGAACUCCAUGUGUAGCGGUGAAAUGCGUAGAUAUAUGGAAGAACACCAGUGGCGAAAGCGGCUCCCUGGUCUGUAACUGACGCUGAGGUUCGAAAGCGUGGGUAGCAAACAGG
rnacentral:rRNA from 1 species